UAUACAUGCAUGUCGUACGCUAGCCGCUGAAUUGAUCCUUCGGGUGAAGUGAGGCAAUGACUAGAGUGGCGAACUGGUGAGUAACACGUAAGAAACCUGCCCUUUAGUGGGGGAUAACAUCUGGAAACAGAUGCUAAUACCGCGUAACAACAAAUCACACAUGUGAUCUGUUUGAAAGGUCCUUCUGGAUCGCUAGAGGAUGGUCUUGCGGCGUAUUAGCUUGUUGGUAGGGUAGAAGCCUACCAAGGCAAUGAUGCGUAGCCGAGUUGAGAGACUGGCCGGCCACAUUGGGACUGAGACACUGCCCAAACUCCUACGGGAGGCUGCAGUAGGGAAUUUUCCGCAAUGCACGAAAGUGUGACGGAGCGACGCCGCGUGUGUGAUGAAGGCUUUCGGGUCGUAAAGCACUGUUGUAAGGGAAGAAUAACUGAAUUCAGAGAAAGUUUUCAGCUUGACGGUACCUUACCAGAAAGGGAUGGCUAAAUACGUGCCAGCAGCCGCGGUAAUACGUAUGUCCCGAGCGUUAUCCGGAUUUAUUGGGCGUAAAGCGAGCGCAGACGGUUUAUUAAGUCUGAUGUGAAAUCCCGAGGCCCAACCUCGGAACUGCAUUGGAAACUGAUUUACUUGAGUGCGAUAGAGGCAAGUGGAACUCCAUGUGUAGCGGUGAAAUGCGUAGAUAUGUGGAAGAACACCAGUGGCGAAAGCGGCUUGCUAGAUCGUAACUGACGUUGAGGCUCGAAAGUAUGGGUAGCAAACGGGAUUAGAUACCCCGGUAGUCCAUACCGUAAACGAUGGGUGCUAGUUGUUAAGAGGUUUCCGCCUCCUAGUGACGUAGCAAACGCAUUAAGCACCCCGCCUGAGGAGUACGGCCGCAAGGCUAAAACUUAAAGGAAUUGACGGGGACCCGCACAAGCGGGGGAGCAUGUGGUUUAAUUCCAAAAUACCCCGAAAAACCUUUACCAGGUCUUGACUUACCAAUGAUCCGCUUGUUGUAAUGAAAGCUUUUCUUCGGAACAUUGGAUACAGGUGGUG
rnacentral:rRNA from 1 species